AUGAACGCUAGCUACAGGCUUAACACAUGCAAGUCGAGGGGCAGCAGGAUCUAGCAAUAGAUUGCUGGCGACCGGCGCACGGGUGAGUAACACGUAUCCAACCUGCCGAUAACUCGGGGAUAGCCUUUCGAAAGAAAGAUUAAUACCCGAUGGCAUAAUUAGACCGCAUGGUUUGAUUAUUAAAGAAUUUCGGUUAUCGAUGGGGAUGCGUUCCAUUAGGCAGUUGGUGAGGUAACGGCUCACCAAACCUUCGAUGGAUAGGGGUUCUGAGAGGAAGGUCCCCCACAUUGGAACUGAGACACGGUCCAAACUCCUACGGGAGGCAGCAGUGAGGAAUAUUGGUCAAUGGGCGCAGGCCUGAACCAGCCAAGUAGCGUGAAGGAUGACUGCCCUAUGGGUUGUAAACUUCUUUUAUAUGGGAAUAAAGUUUUCCACGUGUGGAAUUUUGUAUGUACCAUAUGAAUAAGGAUCGGCUAACUCCGUGCCAGCAGCCGCGGUAAUACGGAGGAUCCGAGCGUUAUCCGGAUUUAUUGGGUUUAAAGGGAGCGUAGGUGGACAGUUAAGUCAGUUGUGAAAGUUUGCGGCUCAACCGUAAAAUUGCAGUUGAUACUGGCUGUCUUGAGUACAGUAGAGGUGGGCGGAAUUCGUGGUGUAGCGGUGAAAUGCUUAGAUAUCACGAAGAACUCCGAUUGCGAAGGCAGCUCACUGGACUGCAACUGACACUGAUGCUCGAAAGUGUGGGUAUCAAGCAGGAUUAGAUACCCUGGUAGUCCACACAGUAAACGAUGAAUACUCGCUGUUUGCGAUAUACAGUAAGCGGCCAAGCGAAAGCAUUAAGUAUUCCACCUGGGGAGUACGCCGGCAACGGUGAAACUCAAAGGAAUUGACGGGGGCCCGCACAAGCGGAGGAACAUGUGGUUUAAUUCGAUGAUACGCGAGGAACCUUACCCGGGCUUAAAUUGCAUUUGAAUAUAUUGGAAACAGUAUAGCCGUAAGGCAAAUGUGAAGGUGCUGCAUGGUUGUCGUCAGCUCGUGCCGUGAGGUGUCGGCUUAAGUGCCAUAACGAGCGCAACCCUUAUCUUUAGUUACUAACAGGUCAUGCUGAGGACUCUAGAGAGACUGCCGUCGUAAGAUGUGAGGAAGGUGGGGAUGACGUCAAAUCAGCACGGCCCUUACGUCCGGGGCUACACACGUGUUACAAUGGGGGGUACAGAAGGCAGCUACCUGGUGACAGGAUGCUAAUCCCAAAAGCCUCUCUCAGUUCGGAUCGAAGUCUGCAACCCGACUUCGUGAAGCUGGAUUCGCUAGUAAUCGCGCAUCAGCCAUGGCGCGGUGAAUACGUUCCCGGGCCUUGUACACACCGCCCGUCAAGCCAUGAAAGCCGGGGGUACCUGAAGUACGUAACCGCAAGGAGCGUCCUAGGGUAAAACUGGUAAUUGGGGCU
rnacentral:rRNA from 1 species